GUUUGUCCAUGUGCUUUGAUGUGUAAUGAAAUAUAUGUACUCACAUUGCUCCAUAAUAGAUAUCCAUAAAAUUGAUAAAAUCAGUGAUUUUUAUUUAAUUUAUCCCCCCACCAGUUUCUUUGGAGGAACAGUUUUGUGAUAAAAUUGGAAAGAAAUCUAAGCUACACAGGGCUCUGACUCGCUCAGUGAUGAACGGGAAGUGAUAAAAAG